AGUAGAUCUGAGAGAGAGAAGGACUUGAUGGCAAUCAGAUGAUACUGGACAUGUGUGGCUCCCCCGUCCUUCCCAGGUCAGAGAAGGAACCCUCAUUAAGGACAUGCCCUUGUCUCUCAGACAUGGAGACUCUCUGUCAGUGGAAUUGCAGACUGGAAAUAUCCUGAUCCAUGUCUAAAAUGAAAGAUGCUUCUGAGUCCACGGCAUCAUGGCUUCAAGUCUGCAGAGCUGCGUUCUGAACUCUGGCUCAUCCCUACAAAGGGCUGGGAGAGUGGAGCAUCAUCAUGUAGCUGUGCUUUGAGUUUUCCUCUUAGAAUACAGACUGGGAAUGCCUGACUCGCAGGGCUGGCUUCGGAAUAAAAUAAGAAAUUAAUGUGCAGGACCUAGCAUGUGACACCACAAAUAGAUAGCUAUUCAGUCAGCCUCACUUUCAGUGACAGUCCAACACACAGGCACCCAA